UACGUAGGGUGCAAGCGUUGUCCGGAAUUAUUGGGCGUAAAGGGCUCGUAGGCGGUCCGUCACGUCGGGAGUGAAAUCCUGGGGCUUAACCCCAGAGCUGCUUCCGAUACGGGCAGACUAGAGGUAGGUAGGGGAGAAUGGAAUUCCUGGUGUAGCGGUGGAAUGCGCAGAUAUCAGGAGGAACACCAGUGGCGAAGGCGGUUCUCUGGGCCUUACCUGACGCUGAGGAGCGAAAGCGUGGGGAGCAAACAGG
rnacentral:rRNA from 1 species